rnacentral:rRNA from 1 species
GACGAACGCUGGCGGCGUGCUUAACACAUGCAAGUCGAACGGAAAGGCCCUGCUUUUGUGGGGUGCUCGAGUGGCGAACGGGUGAGUAACACGUGAGUAACCUGCCCUUAACUUUGGGAUAACUUCAGGAAACUGGGGCUAAUACCGGAUAGGAGCUCCUGCUGCAUGGUGGGGGUUGGAAAGUUUCGGCGGUUGGGGAUGGACUCGCGGCUUAUCAGCUUGUUGGUGGGGUAGUGGCUUACCAAGGCUUUGACGGGUAGCCGGCCUGAGAGGGUGACCGGCCACAUGGGGACUGAGAUACGGCCCAGACUCGUACGGGAGGCAGCAGUGGGGAAUAUUGCACAAUGGGCGGAAGCCUGAUGCGGCGACGCCGCGUGCGGGAUGACGGCCUUCGGGUUGUGAACCGCUUUCGCCUGUGACGAAGCGUGAGUGACGGUAAUGGGUAAAGAAGCACCGGCUAACUACGUG